AGUAGUUUGACUCCUGGCUCAGGACGACGCUGGCGGCGUGCCUAAUACAUGCAAGUCGAACGAGGGUGCUUGCACCCUAGUGGCGAACGGGUGAGUAACACGUAGGUAACCUGCCCUUAAGCUUGGGAUACCCAGAGGAAACUUUGGCUAAUACCGGAUAACAACAGAAGAGGCAUCUCUUCAGUUUGAAAGGCCCUGCAAGGGGUCACUUAAGGAUGGACCUGCGGCGCAUUAGCUAGUUGGUGAGAUAACAGCCCACCAAGGCGAGGAUGCGUAGCCGACCUGAGAGGGUGAUCGGCCACAUUGGAACUGAGACACGGUCCAAACUCC
rnacentral:rRNA from 1 species